rnacentral:rRNA from 1 species
AAUAGAUCCCAGGUAGUCCUAGCUGUAAACGAUGAGCACUUGGUUGGGGAUCCUCCCAUAGGUUCCCGACCGUAGCGAAAGUGUUAAGUGCUCCGCCUGGGGGAGUAUGGUCGCAAGGCUGAAACUCAAAGGAAUUGACGGGGGGCUCACACAAGCGGUGGAGGAUGUGGCUUAAUUCGAGGCUACGCGAAGAACCUUAUCCAGGCCUUGACUACAACGGAUUAACCCGCCGAAAGGCGGGCCACGCCUUCGGGUGGAACGUUGAACAGGUGCUGCAUGGCCGCCGUCAGCUCGUGUCGUGAGAUGUCGGGUUAAGUCCCUUAACGAGCGCAACCCUUGUUGCUAGUUGCCAGCGAGUCAUGUCGGGGACUCUAGCAAGACUGCCGGUGUUAAACCGGAGGAAGGUGGGGAUGACGUCAAGUCCUCAUGGCCUUUAUGGCCUGGGCUGCACACGUCCUACAAUGGCGUCUACAAAGGGAAGCAAGCUCGCGAGAGUAAGCAAAUCCCAAAAAGGACGCCUCAGUACGGAUUGCAGGCUGCAACGUCG